rnacentral:rRNA from 1 species
CCUACGGGAGGCAGCAGUGAGGAAUAUUGGUCAAUGGGCGCGAGCCUGAACCAGCCAAGUCGCGUGAGGGAGGACGGCCCUACGGUUUGUAAACCUCUUUUGCCGGGGCGCAACGGGCGCCACGUGUGGCGUCACUGCGCGUACCCGGAGAAAAAGCAUCGGCUAACUCCGUGCCAGCAGCCGCGGUAAUACGGGGGAUGCUAGCGUUAUCCGGAUUUGUUGGGUUUAAAGGGUGCGUAGGCGGAUCGUUAAGUCAGUGGUCAAAUUGAGGGGCUCAACCCCUUCCCGCCAUUGAAACUGGCGUUCUUGAGUGGAAGAGAAGUAUGCGGAAUGCGUGGUGUAGCGGUGAAAUGCAUAGAUAUCACGCAGAACCCCGAUUGCGAAGGCAGCAUGCCGGCUUCCGACUGACGCUGAAGCACGAAAGCGUGGGGAUCGAACAGGAUUAGAUACCCGGUAGUC